UACGUAGGGUGCAAGCGUUGUCCGGAAUUAUUGGGCGUAAAGAGCUCGUAGGUGGCGGGUCAAGUCGGAUGUGAAAUCCCCAGGCUCAACCUGGGAACUGCAUUCGAGACUGGAUUACUAGAGUAUGGGAGAGGGAAGUGGAAUUUCCGGUGCAGCGGUGAAAUGCGUAGAUAUCGGAAGGAACAUCAGUGGCGAAAGCGACUUCCUGGACCAAUACUGACGCUCAUGUGCGAAAGCGUGGGGAGCAAACAGG
rnacentral:rRNA from 1 species